UACCAGCACCCCGAGUGGUCGGGACGAUUAUUGGGCCUAAAGCAUCCGUAGCCGGCCUUACAAGUCCUCCGUUAAAUCCAGCUGCUUAACAGAUGGGCUGCGGAGGAUACUAUAAGACUAGGAGGCAGGAGAGGCAAGCGGUACUCAGUGGGUAGGGUAAAUCCGUUGAUCCAUUGAAGACCACCAGUGGCGAAGGCGGCUUGCCAGAAUGCGCUCGACGGUGAGGAUGAAAGCUGGGGAGCAAACCGG
rnacentral:rRNA from 1 species